GGGGCGGUAGCUCAGUGGUAGAGUAUGGGAUUGCAGUCAAAACGUUUACGGCAACUUAAUCCUAGGGUCCCGUGUUCGACCCACGGUCGCCCCU
rnacentral:tRNA from 1 species